AAGAGAGACUACAACGUAGAACUGCUAAUUCUACCUACCAUAUAUAAAAAUAUGGCUCCCUUG
rnacentral:tRNA from 1 species